rnacentral:tRNA from 1 species
GGAGAUUUGGCCGAGUGGUCGAAGGCACUUCCCUGCUAAGGAAGCAUAGAGGCUUAAACCCUUUAUCGUGAGUUCGACUCUCACAAUCUCCGCCA